rnacentral:lncRNA from 10 species
GACUGGGGCAGCCCAGAACACUGGGGAGACUAGAUCGAUAGGGCUGCACAGAGGUGGCACAGUUGUGCCAGAGGUAGCAGGGACAGGAGGGCUGGCAAGGGAGGGUCCAGGGCUAGGGGAUUCGGAGUGGCUUCAGGCGGACCACGUGGCUACCUUUUUUCCAGGGCCAGACUUUGGCAGCGUGUAAGGUCUGAGGACAGGGGCACCGGAGGCCGAGGAUGAGAGGCCAGUGCCUGUUUCCAGGCAGCCAGGGCCUCAGAAACUCCGGCCGGAGCACUCACCCGUCGGUGGAGGCCGUUACCAGGGCCACCUUAUUUGCGAGCGGGUCCCGGCGGGUCAUCCCGGAGCUGGCCAUCCGCACCGAAUUCCAAGCCCGGGCACAGAGGCCUAGCAGCCCCGCCUUGUGCAUGGAUCAGACCAGCAAGUAUGGGUUCCACUCUUCCCAGGGGCGGUGACAGAGUAGGGCGAGGGGCAGGACGAAGGGCGGGCCGAUUCCCUGCCCGCCCUGCUCCCCGCCCCGGUACCGCUGUGAGCGGUCUGUGGCCCUGGGCACCUCCAUCCGCCGCGGCGCCCCUCCACCAUCUACCUUCCGCCUGACUGGGGCUUGCCUUUCCGGGCUGGCGGGUGCCACUUCGGAUAAACCCUUUGGACUCCUAACUCCAAUCAGGUGUCUGCUUUGUUGAGGACUCACAGACACAGUCUCCUUUCUUCAAGAUCUUUACAAUGCAAGACCUCACUAACACACAGGGAUGGUCUCCCAGAGGGUCUGUGCUGUUCCUUCACUCAGAACAUCAAGAUGCACUGAAGUAAGGAUCCUCUAUUCUACAGUUCCUGCUAGCUGAGCUAUUCCAUGGGGGCUUCAGCAGGAAAUUCCAAGGUUGGCUUUGACAAGCUAAGGCCGGCUGGUGGAGCACAUCGAGUUCUGGAGGUUCAUGUGUGUUUUCAUGAAGAUCUGUCUGCCCGUAGCAGAUAAAGAGUUGUUGCCCCACUCCUCCUGGGGUCUUCUAUUUUCCUGGGAGGAAUUUCUGGAUUAACUGAACACACACACACACACACACACCCUUUUGAAGCAUCAACAGUAAUUCUGAGUUCUUAGGGACAAUGCAGAUUAAAUCCACAAUAAGAAAGACAACUAUGGCCAGGUGUGGUGGCUCACGCCUGUAAUCCCAGAACUUUGGGAGGCUGAGGCGGAUGGAUCACCUGAGGUCAGGAGUUAGAGACCAACCUGACCAACAUGGAGAAACCCCGUUUCUACUAAAAAUGCAAAAUUAGCCGGGCAUGGUGGCAGGCGCCUGUAAUCCCAAAUACUCGGGAGGCUGAGGCAGGAGAAUCACUUAAACCCGGGAGGCAGAGGUUGCAGUGAGCCAAGAUCGCGCCAUUGCACUCCAGCCUGGGCAAGAAGAGCAAAACUCCAUCUCAAAAAAAAAAAAAGAGUACUAUUGAUCCAGAGGUGACCAGACUAGCCUCACUGGAGAUAAUAGGUGACAUUAUUAUGCAAAGUGGUUUCAGUUCCCUUGUCUUGUUUUUGGAAUAGUAUAAGAGGCCUACAAUACGAAUAAAUAAGGCCCAUCACAAGCCUCACCAAAGGACAAAACUAAUCCACUUCUGAAGAAGGCUCUUUGUUGGGCCAGAUCAAAUCCUUGGACAGAACUGUACUCUUAAUCUCUGUAGUGAAAGUGGGGGGUAGUUUAAGAAUUUAUUAACCUUCUACCUUGAGCAAUCCCUCAGAAGUAAGAGGUGUCAGGCCUCUGAGCCGAAGCUCAGCCAUUGUAACCCCUGUGACCUGCACAUAUAUGUCCAGAUGGCCUGCAGGAGCCAAGAAGUCUGGGGCAGCUGAAAAACCACACAAGAAGUAAAACAGCCAGUUCCUGCCUUAACUGAUUAACCAACAUUACAACAUUCCACCAUUGUGACCUGUCCCUGUCCUACCUUAACUGAUCAAUCGACCUUGUGACAGUCUUCUUCUGGACAAUGGGUCUUAUCAUCUCCCCACCAUGUACCUUGUGACCCCCUCCUCUGCUAACAAUAGAUAACCACUUUUUACUGUAAUUUUCCAUUACCUACCCAACUCCUAUAAAGCAACCCCUUCCCCAUCUCCCUUCACUGACUCUGUUUUCAGACUCAGCCCACUUGCACUCAAGUGAAUAAACAGCCUUGUUGCUCACACAAAGCCUGUUGGUGGUCUCUUCACACAGAUGUGCUUGACAAAAGGGAAGGGUGGAUUUGUCCUUCUGGUUACAUAUGUUCUGCUCACUCAUUUUGAAUUUAAUUAAACAAGGAUUGCCCUUACCUUUUCAUACUUUGUAAGAAACCAUAAAUACUUAUGCACCAUGAUUUUUUUAAAGAAACACUUUUUAUUUUGAAGUAAUUAUAGUCUCAUAGGAAGUUGCAAAAGUAGUACAUAGAGUCCCUGAGUACUCUUCCCCCAGUGGUGACAACUGUAGUAUAAUAUCAAUUCUGGGAAAUUGACAUUGGUACAAUACCAAAUAUACUAUGCCUUUUUCUCUAAGGCAUGAUGUUGCAGUAGCAUCCUUGUACAUGUAGCUAGGAGAACUUGUACUAAGCCCAGAUAAAUAGUUGAAGUACAAGGGCAAGGAGUGUGUCUUUGAUAUUUUAAUAGAAAUCACCUAUUGCCCUCUAGAAAAGCUGUACCCUUUUCCAGUGGCAGAGAACCUUCCUGAAAGGCAGUCCUGUGUAAUGGUGUCCAUUUCAUCACACCCUUAAAACACUCAGCUUUAACAAACAUGCAGAUUUUUGCUGAUGUGGGAGAAAAUAUUAAUUAUUAAUGAUAUUAAGGUGAUUAUCUUUUCGUAUGUUUAUAGAUAUUUGUAUUUCUUUUUAAAUGAACUGCUCAUGACCUUUGUCUACUUUUAUUUGGGUUUACUUCUUUCUCAUUUAUUCCUAUAAACUCUUUAUAAAAGGAAAUUAACCAUUUGAUUGUCAUAUGUUGUGAAUAUUUUUACCAUUUUGACUUUUGAAUUUAUGUCUUUUUAAUGAAUUGUAGAAGUUUAAAAUCUUUAUGGAAUAAAUUUAUUUAGUUUUUUGUUUAUGG